UACGUAGGGGGCAAGCGUUGUCCGGAAUCAUUGGGCGUAAAGCGCGUGUAGGCGGCUCGGUAAGUCCGCUCUGAAAGUCCGGGGCUCAACCCCGGGAGGCGGGUGGAUACUGUCGGGCUAGAGUCCGGAAGAGGCGAGUGGAAUUCCCGGUGUAGCGGUGAAAUGCGCAGAUAUCGGGAGGAACACCAAUGGCGAAGGCAGCUCGCUGGGACGGUACUGACGCUGAGACGCGAAAGCGUGGGGAGCAAACAGG
rnacentral:rRNA from 1 species